rnacentral:lncRNA from 1 species
CUGGAGGUAACUCGUCCAAGGACACCCUGUAUUCUCUGAACUCAGGCCCUCAAGAGAGUGAAAAAAGACAAUCAUGGAAAAGCACAACCAACUGUGACAGAUACAAAGUGGAAAAAAACCUGAGCUUAACAAUGAGAAGCCUCAUGGGCGGAAUUGCAAGAAGACAGCCUAAGCUCUCCUCGUCCGCAUGUGCAAUUAUGUAUAGAUGAAAAAUUACAGAGGCUAAUAAUUACAGUAGCAAUUGUCCACUUGCAGCACAAUUAGCCCUUUGCUCCUCAUUCUGAGAAAGUGACUAAUUGUACCCACAGCAAGCCAACUCUCCAUGUAUUUGUUUUAGAAUGAAAUGUUAUGCUUGCCAGAAAGUCCCACCUACAAGAGCACAGGACCCAGGGCACCAUAAGGCCCAGUGCCCAGGGACUCAGGGCUUUGAAAAACCUACCUUCUAGCCCAGAACAGGCCCUGCAGUAUGUGGGAAAGUGGGUAAAAAUACUAAUGCUGGAGAUCUUGUGGACUACAUCAUGCCAUCUAUAUAUUAAAAAUGAGGAAGGUAAAAAUAGAAUUCAGGUAAUGACAACAAUUAUACUUAAUGAGUACCUUUCAUCGGAGAUCAGAAAUGCCUUCUAGUUAAAUUUCACAGCCUCCGGUGAGAUGUAAGGGGAAAAUAUUUGUAAGCUAAACCUCACUUUUCAGUCAAAGAAUCAGAAGCACUUUAGGCAGCGGUGAAUAGCAGUGUGUCUGAAAUGGAUAGAGGAUAAUUCUCAGAGAUUUCUGACUUCUUGCUCCAGAAAUCACAUUCCUGCUUGUUUUGUUAAGGUAAACACCUUUUCAAAAUAAGGCAUGUAAUGUGUCAGGUGGGUUAUAGAUGAGCAAAAAGAGGUCCUCCUACACUCCCCCUGCACCCC